UACGUAGGGGGGCAAGCGUUGUCCGGAUUUACUAGGCGUAAAGAGCGCGUAGGCGGACGUUUUAAGUGUGGCCUGAAAGCCCCCCGGCUCAACCGGGGAUCCGGGGUUGCCAAACUGGGACGUCUUGAGGGGGGAUAGGGGGAAGGUGGGAAUUCCAGGUGUAGCGGUGAAAUGCGUAGAUAUCUGGAGGAAUACCGGUGGCGAAGGCGGCAUCCUGGACCGACAUUGACGCUGAACGGCGAAAGCUAGGGGAGCAAACGGG
rnacentral:rRNA from 1 species